AUUAUGUCUAAAAGGGAGGAGCUUGAACGGGGUAUUCAGUUUGGUUUAUCAUUGAGGGUAGUGGAGGACCGACUGCAGACUGGCUCCCUCUCCUCUCCUCUGCUCUCUAUUCGACUCUAGAGCUGUACUUUGAGAUCCACAGGGCACAACCAUGGAGGAAAUGGACUUUGAGCGACGCCGGGAGCUGAGGAGGCAGAAGCGGGAGGAGAUGCGCCUGGAGGCCGAACGGAUGGCGAGGAAUGAUGAUGAUGAAGAGGAGGCGGCCCGUGAGAGGAGGCGCCGGGCUCGGCAGGAGAGGCUGAGGAGCAGGGAGAGCGAGGAGCCCAGCAGCCAGCCAGAAAGCCUGGUCAUGACCAACAGCCACAGUGUGACAGAGACAGUGACUGUGAGCAGCUCUUAUGGAGGCGGCGGAGACGACGAAGAACAGGCGCUGCUGGACCGGAUGGCCAAACGGGAGGAGAGACGGCAGAGACGCAUGAAGGAGGCACUGGAGAGACAGGGGCAGCUGGACAACACCGAGGCCACCGACAGCGUCGCCACGGAGAGAAACAACGCAGAAGAGGAGAGACCCUCCUCCUGGCGCAGGGGUCGUUACCGUGACAAUGACGACGAGGAGGAGAAGCCAGCGACCUACAGUUCAAGGAGGGAUCAGAAGGAGCGAGAGGAGCCAAGAGAGGAAGAGGAGGCUGCUCCCGAAGCCGUAGAAGUGGAGGAGCAGAAAGUUGAAGUGGACGAGGACAAGCCGAGAAGGUCUUACUUGAGAGAACAGGCGUCAACCGAAGAGCCUAAAAUGCAAAACAAGGCUCUCGCUGAAGAAGAGACACUUUCUGUAGUCAGUGAGAGUUCAAAUCAGGCCAAGUCAGCAAAUUCAGAGGCUGAGGAGGAUGCGGUAGCGUCAGGGGAGGCGGAAGAGGUGACUGAGAGGGGCGGAACCAGGGAGGACGAGAGGAAGCACAACGGAGGGUUGCACGAGGAGGCGACUCCCAAACAGCACCGGAAACCUGAGAGGACCCUCAGUCGUGGUAGCGUUCGUUCCCCUGAGGUGUCCGCGGGCGACGAGCAGGACGACGCCGCCCGCCUAGAGGCAGAACGCAAGCUGGAGGAGCUGAAGCGUCGCCGCGACGACGCUGAGAGCGAGGAGUUCGAGAAGAUGAGGCAGAAGCAGCAGGAGGCCGAGGUCGAGCUGGAGGAGCUGAAGAGGAAGAGGGAGGAGAGGAGGAAGGUGCUGGAGGAGGAGGAGCGGCAGAAGAAGCAGGAGGAGGCGGAAAAGAAAGCCAGAGAGGAGGAGGAGAAAAGGAAGAUGAAAGAGGAGAUCGAGCGGAGGAGAGCAGAGGCAGCUGAGAAGAGACAGAAGGUGGAAGACACCAUGGACGGGGAGGACAAACCGUUCAAGUGUGUCAGCCCUCGAGGCUCCUCUCUGAAGAUUGGAGAGAGAGCAGAGUUCCUGAACAAGUCGGCGCAGAAAAGCACAGUGAAGACAUCUCAUUCUCCUGUGGUGUCCAAGAUAGACAACAGGCUGGAGCAGUACACCUCAGCUGCUCAGCAGAGAGAGAACAAGGAGUCUCGAUCCCCUCGCUCUGGAGCCGUGGAUCUGCCCAUGGUCACCGACAGCAUACGAAACAUCAAGAGCAUGUGGGAGAAGGGCGACGUGUUCAGCUCGCCUGGAAGCGGCGGAAGCCCAUUCAAGGAAGCAGCUGUGAUGAAGACGGGCGUGGCGGGCCGUAUCAACGACUGGCUGAAUAAAACCCCAGAGAGCGGCAAGACUGCAGGAGGAAGGCCAGCGGACCUGAAGCCGGUUGACGUCACCAACAAGAGGAGUCUAUGGGAAAACAAAGGCGCCUCUCCAACCAAGAACUCUCAUAGCUAGUUGACCUCACCGUUAAAUCUGGAAAAAAGCCUGGAGAGGUGGCAGGCAGAGGGGAGACCAAAUCAGUCGCCAAUGGUAUGGGACACUAAUGUCUCGAAGGAGCCACUAAAGCUGGGGACCACGACAAUCCAAGACUCUUCCUUUUGACUUUUUCUUAAGAACCAAAUAGUGACCACACAUCCCGAGAGGGGACCCUUAAGACCACGGAGGGACAGGAGAGACGCUGUCCGAGCACUGUACCGAAACAACAUCAGCGUAAUUUUGUAAGGUUGCCACGUAUAGUGCCUUUGCACAACGAUUUUUUGCUUUCUAAAAAAACAAAGAAGAAAAGAACAACAACAAUGCUGUGAAAUUUGGACAUUUCUUAUUUCUUUACCUAAAAAAUCCUGCCAGGAAAACAAAAUUAAUUAAAUUUAGAUGUAUCUUUUGUACUCAAGACAGUGUAGUUUCCACAUUCCAAAGAGAUGGGUGAAAUCUCCCUCCUCCGAUUAUUUUCCAUCUCUUUUUUAUUUAUAUUUAAAGCAAAAGCUUCACACAUUUGCUAUUUUAUUCAGCGUUCACCUGUUCAGGAUAGGAAUAUAAGCACUUCUAGAAUUUAGCGGAUUUCACUUUUAUUAUGUCUUACCAAUAGUGCAGCAACGGUCUGAGUAAUAUAUGUUAGCACAUGUGAUGUUUUGAAUAUCAUACUGUAUCAUUUAUAACAUCAGUAUAAUCAUAACAAAAAAGGUAUUUUUGCUUCUUUUUCAUAUCCAAAAACUAUUCACCAACAGGCAGUUAGUUAAUUCGGAGUGUUGAAUAUCCAGAAGGCCAUUUUAUUAUCUUUUAAUUUAUGUUUAAUGUGGUUUUUUUUCUGUUUCUAGCCGAUUAUUUUUCUAGCUUUUGUACCUGUUCGAUCACUUUAAAAUCUUCCGACAUUCCUCUUAAAUGCGGCGGCACAUGGUGCCUUUGCUGCUGAAAAGCUGUAGGUUUUAUAAUGUAGGAUCUUUUUUGUUUUGUUUUAAUCUACCUUUAACUUCCUUAUUGCCUCUAUGCACACUCUUACGCUCAGCAAUGCUUUUCUAACUGAGGGCAAAGUAAAAUCAGGGUGCCUACGCAUAUAGCAAGAUAGUAGUACAAGGAUAUUUACCACUAUGUAAAACUUCUGGCCUUAUGAUUGCAAUGACAGCAUUUAUGACAGCUGAGGUACAGUACCUAAACGCCUCAUAGCGACUCAGUAUGAUUUUUUUUUUUUGAGACUUGUGAUUUUCAUGUUUAUUUUUCACUGACUUGUUCUUAAGUAGCACAUUCCCUUCGAUAAGAUGAUGAACCGUUUGUCAGGGCAUUAAAUUGAUCGAUGCAACUGCUCAAGAGUCUGACAAUCACAUUCCAUGGCUCCUGAAAAAUGAGCAGGGGAGCUGGACCAAAACAUUUGUACGCGUGAUUUAAUGUGACAUUUAUAUAUGUUUUUUUUCGCUAAUACAGUGGUUUUAUAAGGCUGUAUUGUUUUUUUUUUGUUUUUUUUUUACAUCUUUGUGUCCAUUUUAUGUUUUUUAAAAUUCUUUUAUUUCCAUGUUUAACCAGACACUUGUCAUUUGCGUAGCGCUAAGCCUAUGCAAAACACACUUUCUGUAGUCUCUCUCUCUCUCCCAAUGUCAUACAAGUCGGCAGUUUCCAAGUGGAUGAAUGUUUUGAACAUUGUAUCUUUCAUUCAACAACAGCAAUAAAGACAUUGAGGUAUU